AAAUUGAAGAGUUUGAUCAUGGCUCAGAUUGAACGCUGGCGGCAGGCCUAACACAUGCAAGUCGAACGGUAACAGGAAGAAGCUUGCUUCUUUGCUGACGAGUGGCGGACGGGUGAGUAAUGUCUGGGAAACUGCCUGAUGGAGGGGGAUAACUACUGGAAACGGUAGCUAAUACCGCAUAACGUCGCAAGACCAAAGAGGGGGACCUUCGGGCCUCUUGCCAUCGGAUGUGCCCAGAUGGGAUUAGCUAGUAGGUGGGGUAACGGCUCACCUAGGCGACGAUCCCUAGCUGGUCUGAGAGGAUGACCAGCCACACUGGAACUGAGACACGGUCCAGACUCCUACGGGAGGCAGCAGUGGGGAAUAUUGCACAAUGGGCGCAAGCCUGAUGCAGCCAUGCCGCGUGUAUGAAGAAGGCCUUCGGGUUGUAAAGUACUUUCAGCGGGGAGGAAGGGAGUAAAGUUAAUACCUUUGCUCAUUGACGUUACCCGCAGAAGAAGCACCGGCUAACUCCGUGCCAGCAGCCGCGGUAAUACGGAGGGUGCAAGCGUUAAUCGGAAUUACUGGGCGUAAAGCGCACGCAGGCGGUUUGUUAAGUCAGAUGUGAAAUCCCCGGGCUCAACCUGGGAACUGCAUCUGAUACUGGCAAGCUUGAGUCUCGUAGAGGGGGGUAGAAUUCCAGGUGUAGCGGUGAAAUGCGUAGAGAUCUGGAGGAAUACCGGUGGCGAAGGCGGCCCCCUGGACGAAGACUGACGCUCAGGUGCGAAAGCGUGGGGAGCAAACAGGAUUAGAUACCCUGGUAGUCCACGCCGUAAACGAUGUCGACUUGGAGGUUGUGCCCUUGAGGCGUGGCUUCCGGAGCUAACGCGUUAAGUCGACCGCCUGGGGAGUACGGCCGCAAGGUUAAAACUCAAAUGAAUUGACGGGGGCCCGCACAAGCGGUGGAGCAUGUGGUUUAAUUCGAUGCAACGCGAAGAACCUUACCUGGUCUUGACAUCCACGGAAGUUUUCAGAGAUGGAAUGGUGCCUUCGGGAACCGUGAGACAGGUGCUGCAUGGCUGUCGUCAGCUCGUGUUGUGAAAUGUUGGGUUAAGUCCCGCAACGAGCGCAACCCUUAUCCUUUGUUGCCAGCGGUCCGGCCGGGAACUCAAAGGAGACUGCCAGUGAUAAACUGGAGGAAGGUGGGGAUGACGUCAAGUCAUCAUGGCCCUUACGACCAGGGCUACACACGUGCUACAAUGGCGCAUACAAAGAGAAGCGACCUCGCGAGAGCAAGCGGACCUCAUAAAGUGCGUCGUAGUCCGGAUUGGAGUCUGCAACUCGACUCCAUGAAGUCGGAAUCGCUAGUAAUCGUGGAUCAGAAUGCCACGGUGAAUACGUUCCCGGGCCUUGUACACACCGCCCGUCACACCAUGGGAGUGGGUUGCAAAAGAAGUAGGUAGCUUAACCUUCGGGAGGGCGCUUACCACUUUGUGAUUCAUGACUGGGGUGAAGUCGUAACAAGGUAACCGUAGGGGAACCUGCGGUUGGAUCACCUCCUUACCUUAAAGAAGC
rnacentral:rRNA from 1 species